CACCCACAGCAUAUGGAGGUUCCCAGGCCAGGGGUUCAAUCAUAGCUGAAGCCGCCAGCCUAUGCCACAGCCAUAGCAACUUGGGAUCUGAGCCACAUCUGUAAUCUAUACCACAGCUCACCUGAGCGCUGGAUCCCCAACCCACUGAGCAAAGCCAUGGAUUGAACCUGCAAUGUCAUGGUUCCUAGUCAGAUUUGUUUCUGCUGCGCCAUGAUGGGAAAUCCUCCAUUGCCAUGUGAGUUGAAGCUUUAACCUCUUACAAAAUAUCUCUUUCUAAAAGAGGAGUUGGACUCUCUGGAACAAUCAGAAAGUCAUGAGAGAAGAAAAUGGAUUCCCAGUCACAGAUCAAAGGUUGUGUAAAAAAUUUUGUAACUGGCUUGCCAGAAAUAUUAAUGUGGCAGAUGCGUGAGGGAGGGGCCCAGGAUUGGAGAGGAGGACUGAAAAGUGGUUCCCGUAUUCAGGAGGAAGUCAAUAGGCUGUCUUCCUCUUUUAGAGUCACCCAGGGCUCCUGAGUGGUGAUAAGGAUAGGAGCUAUUAUGGAAAUGUCCCAUCAGUCUUGAGGGGUCAACCCCAGAGACCUUCAUCUUCAGGGGCAGUCGCUCUUCCUGUGAUCUCCCCAACAUAUGGGGCAUGGCCUAGGUGCUAUGGUCUGAGUCUUGCGGCAUUCCCCUUUAAAGGGUCCCUCUUUUCCACAGAGGAAACAGGCUCUGGGCAUAGGUCUCUGCCCUAGUCCUUUCACCUUGAAACUCCCAGGUUGACUCCCUGUAGUGCCAUAACUAGAGCCUCAGCCUUUUCUGUCUCUCCUCUUGUUCUCCUUUCAUUCUUCCUGGCCCCGAUUAUAACAUACUUGAGUUCCUACUCUGAGGAGGUGCUCCAGGUCCUGACCAGGGCCAAAAGCCAAUUUUUGGAGCUUUCUCCAUUUAUCUGGCACCAAUUGAGCUAUGAAUUUAUCCUUAAGAAUUAUUCAGCCCUCCAUUGUUUCUGGGUUCCUUGGUGUAUGUUUUCUCAAUGCCUUUCUGAGUCUUUCUAAGAAAGCUGAUGGACUCUCUUGUUCUCCUAGUAAACCUCUGAUAGUUUUUAAUAGGCUUUACUCAUGAGGCUUUUAAUCCCUCAACUAUACAAGUAAUAAAAUGAUUUCUAUGCCAAUUAUGGUUAUCUCCCUCAUCAACAGACCAAUUGGGAUCGCUCAUAGGAACUGCCUGACACCCUGUGGGGAAUCUUGUUCAUUCAUCUUCUAAUCCGCCUCUGGCAUUUAUAGCAUCAUUCCAUUCAUCUUCCCCAGCUUUGAGCAGUUUUGAAGACUUUAUGUAUUUUUUCCACCUAUACUCAAUGUCUGUUUUCAUAAUAACAUGACAUCCUUCCAGGCUAACUCAAAGAACUGCAUGAGACCCUGAAAGACCUCAAUAUAUCUGGGUCAUCAGCAAAUUUUCCCAAAUCUGUUUUUAUUUGCCUUAAGUCCGGAAGUGAAAUAGGUGUAUGGGCCUGUAUUUGGUCCCCAUUCUCUGUUUGCUACUUCUUGUAAAGGGAGUAGAGAGAUAUAUAACUUUGGCGCUGGAGGGGGGAGAGGAGGAGCCUUGAGCAGUAUUGGAGAAGGCUCAUUAACUUCUGGCUAAUUGAAGAAUAGUAUUAUAAGCUAGAGAGCUUUCAGACAGCCAUCACUCUCCAUCUGACAGAUUAUAUACAUCCAGUGCCUAUUGUCCCUUCUUGGUUAUGUGAGGGCAUCCCCUCUCUUAUAUGGAUCAGCUAGACAUUAGUGGUCAAAUGUCCCAUCCAACCUCAGGCUGACUGGAAUUAACCACUCUUUACCAGUGUAGUCUGUUUUCCCAUCAUCCCUGCCUAUUGCCUGUCUCUGGACAGAAGUAAAGAAAACCCAGGCAUACAGGCCCUGCCCUGAGUUUUCGAAUCCUAAGAUGCUCACUAUGACAUGCCCUCUAUUAAUAUUAGGAAAGUUUCUAAGCCACAGUUAACAGGUAAAUUGGAUGAACAGCAGAAAGCCAAACUGACUAUGCUGAGGCUCUGAGGCUAAACACUUGGCCUAAAUUGGAUGAAUACUAGCUAUGAACUCCUUUUCCCCACAGGCCUGGUGGCAACUCAGGAUGGUCUUAGCAUCUAGAAGUCUAUUUCCUUUGCCCCCACAGGGGCAAUAGCAAAGGACGUGAUGAAAGAUCAGGUUAGUUUUAUACCAUAAUCUUCAGAAAAUCCCUUUUUGAAAUCUUUGAUCACACAGUCUACAACCAUGGAUUUAGACUUGGGCGAACCCCUGGUGUCUUUCUGUGGAUCUUGUCUAUGGCCUGAUAUUAUGAGACCUUCUCUGACCUAGUGAGCAGUAUCCCCAGUAGCUUUGCCUCCGCCACUCUUGAAAGCAAGACAGCUCCCACUCAGCUCGCUCUAUGACCAGGGAUAACACCUGCUUUGUUGCAAUAUCUCUGAUCCAUCUGGGCCCCCAGUCUCGGGAAGGCACUCUCAGACAACUUCUAAUGUUUUGGGCAAAGGACAGGGGACCUGGUACUCAAUCCUCCCUAUACCCUGAACUGAGACGGGGAUGACAGUCUUGUCUCCAUUACUCAGAUCCUGGGCCUAAGUGAACUGACAAAAUGGGCAGUCCCAUGGCUGGUUUGGAAUCUGGGCCAGGAGUUCCUGGAGGCCCAGGGGCAAGGUCAAGUUAGAUUAUCUCCUCAGAGGAAGUUAUGUCUCACAAGACGGGAGCACAGGGUCUCUGGCUCAUGGGUUUCUGGGUUAGGUCCCACCCCAUGUGGCUGCCCUGUGCAAGUGACACAGACAAAACAAGGGAGCAUGCCCCCUUCUCAGAAUGUCUGCCUGACCGCCCCCCUCUCAGGAGUUUAGGUGCCUCUUAGCAAUUUGCUUGUUCAUAUAAGCCCUGAACUUGGAUUGGACUCACAGGGAGGGAAGAGAACCCCCAGAGUCUGCUUCAGCCAUAAGCCGUAUGAGGACCCACUCGGACUGCAGGUUAGGACCCACUUGGACUCCGGACUCCGUAACUGCUAAGACCAUGGAGUCACAAAUUCGAACCUGAAGUGCAAGCGAAUCAGGCCGCUCAUUCACUCUCACAUGCACUCAGAGGUUAUCACAAUGCCUCCCACUCCCUGGGAGUUCCUAACUAGUAGCUUGAUCAAGCACAACUUUCGAUUGGCUAUGCCCGACAGUUGCUCCACCCAAGCAAGAGGUUCCUCUGCUUUGGCUCUGGAGCACUAGGACUACUACUCUGGUCAGGCACAGUUUCUGGAGGGGGAGAGUCUCCCUAAGAGGGUGAUCAGUCCCCUCUUCUGCCCACUGGGGCAGGACCUGACUGGGGUUUGCCCCGGGGCCUUACCUUGUCCGGAUGCCUUUCUGGUGAGUUGGUCUGUCUCUCCACUGAGUCCAGUCGGGGUUUGGUCACCUGGGAGUCAGGAAUGCUGCUCAUGAAGGAGUACCCAGAAUACCAUCGGGUGGCACACUGCCUCAUUCGGUUCGAGGCUCCCUGGCUCCCAGGCGGCCUUGCCUCCAUUCCGGUGGCUUAGGGGCCAGAACAGUUGAAAACUCACUGGGGCCCGAGAAACUAAGUGAGCACUUGGAGAGUUGGAGAACUCAGGUUUAUUACGCCAGCGGGCUCAGAGGAGAUCACUCUCCAGAGUCUGAGCCCCAAAGAGGGGUUUCACAAGGCUUUUAUGGGCUAGUUCUUCCAGGUCCAUGCUUGGCGGACUGGAGUGAGAACUGGCAAAGUAAUAGAUGUGGGGGUAAGUUUUACAGAAGCAGAUGUGUGGGGGAGGGGUGAUUAGAGGUAGUUGGCUGGAUUUUGCUUAGUUAUCAUGGCUGGGGUGUCUCCUUUCGACCUUUUUGUCAGGACAUUUUCCCCUACAGGAGAACUCAGAUUUAUUACGCCAGCGGGCUCAGAGGAAAUCACUCUCCAGCAUCCGAACACCGAAGAAGGGUUUCACAAGGCUUUUAUGGGCUACCUCUUCUGGGUCCAUGCUUGGCUGGUUGGACUGGAGUGAGGUCAGGCAAGGUAGUAGAUGCAAAAACUAGUUUACAGAAGAUGUGUGGAGGAGGGGUGGUUGGGGCAGUUGGCUAGACUUUGCUUAGUCAUCAUGGCCGGGUCUCUCCUUUCUGCCUUUUUAUCAGGACAUUUUCUCCUACAGUUUUAGUGUUAUCCUCCAGCAUUGGGAUGAGCAGAUGGAUUUUUUUUUUCCCUAAUGACUUGUAAAACUUUAUCUACUAUGAAUGUGUAUUCCAAAUAAUAUUUUCCAGAAUGUAGAAGAACCAAAACUUUAUACCCUCCUGUCAGAAAUGUGAACUUGCACAACUAUUUUGGAAAACAAUUUGACAGGUUUUCUUUUCUCUCUCUCUCUCUUUAUAUAUAUA
rnacentral:lncRNA from 1 species